rnacentral:rRNA from 1 species
AUGGCUCAGGACGAACGCUGGCGGCGUGCCUAAUACAUGCAAGUCGAACGGUCUUUCUAUGGAAGCUUGCUUCCACUGAGAAGAUAGUGGCGAACGGGUGAGGUAACACGUGGGGUAACCUGCCCAUAAGAGGGGGAUAACAUCCGGAAACGGGUGCUAAUACCGCAUAGUUUCUUGAUCGCAUGAUCGGGAAAGGAAAGACGGCCUUUGUGCUGUCGCUUAUGGAUGGACCCGCGGCGUAUUAGUUAGUUGGUGAGGUAACGGCUCACCAAGACGAUGAUACGUAGCCGACCUGAGAGGGUGAUCGGCCACAUUGGGACUGAGACACGGCCCAAACUCCUACGGGAGGCAGCAGUAGGGAAUCUUCCGCAAUGGACGAAAGUCUGACGGAGCAACGCCGCGUGAGUGAAGAAAAGGUUUUCGGAUCGUAAAACUCUGUUGUCAGAGAAGAACAAGUUGGAGAGUAACUGCUCCAGCCUUGACGGUAUCUGACCAGAAAGCCACGGCUAACUACGUGCCAGCCGCUGC